rnacentral:rRNA from 1 species
GAUGAACGCUGGCGGCGUGCCUAAUACAUGCAAGUCGAGCGAACAGACGAGGAGCUUGCUCCUUCGACGUUAGCGGCGGACGGGUGAGUAACACGUAGGUAACCUACCUAUAAGACUGGGAUAACUUCGGGAAACCGGAGCUAAUACCGGAUAAUAUUUCGAACCGCAUGGUUCGAUAGUGAAAGAUGGCUUUGCUAUCACUUAUAGAUGGACCUGCGCCGUAUUAGCUAGUUGGUAAGGUAACGGCUUACCAAGGCAACGAUACGUAGCCGACCUGAGAGGGUGAUCGGCCACACUGGAACUGAGACACGGUCCAGACUCCUACGGGAGGCAGCAGUAGGGAAUCUUCCGCAAUGGGCGAAAGCCUGACGGAGCAACGCCGCGUGAGCGAUGAAGGUCUUCGGAUCGUAAAACUCUGUUAUUAGGGAAGAACAAACGUGUAAGUAACUGUGCACGUCUUGACGGUACCUAAUCAGAAAGCCACGGCUAACUACGUG